rnacentral:rRNA from 1 species
UCGAGGAUCUUCGGCAAUGAGCGAAAGCUUGACCGAGCGACGCCGCGUGCGGGAUGAAGGCCUUCGGGUUGUAAACCGCUUUCGUAGGGGAGGAAAUUUCGGUGGGAUCACCCAUCGAUUUGACCUAGCCUAGGAAGAAGGACGGGCUAAGUUCGUGCCAGCAGCCGCGGUAAUACGAACCGUCCAACGUUAUUCGGAAUUACUGGGCUUAAAGGGUGCGUAGGCGGCCCGGGAAGUUGGGUGUGAAAGCCCUCGGCUCAACCGAGGAAUGGCGACGAAGGCGGCGGGGGUAGAGGGAGAUAGGGGUGAGCGGAACGUAGGGUGGAGCGG